rnacentral:rRNA from 1 species
UACAGAGGUGGCAAGCGUUGUUCGGAAUUACUGGGCGUAAAGGGCGAGUAGGUGGCCAUCUAAGUCAGACGUGAAAUCCCCCGGCUUAACCUGGGAACUGCGUCUGAUACUGGACGGCUUGAGUAUGGGAGAGGGAUGUAGAAUUCCAGGUGUAGCGGUGAAAUGCGUAGAUAUCUGGAGGAAUACCGGUGGCGAAGGCGGCAUCCUGGACCAACACUGACACUGAGGAGCGAAAGCCAGGGGAGCAAACGGG